AUGUGAUCGUCUCUCGCAUAUCAAUAAGCGGAGGAAAAGAAACUAACAAGGAUUCCCCUAGUAACGGCGAGUGAAGCGGGAAGAGCUCAAAUUUGAAAUCUUAAAGGGUUUCCCUUUACGAAUUGUAGUUUAAAGAAGUGUUUUCUGUUGAGGUUUUGGUAAAAGUUCUUUGGAAUAGGACAUCAUAGAGGGUGAGAAUCCCGUAUUUGACCUUUACUUUCAACCUUGUGAUACACUUUCAAAGAGUCGGAUUGUUUGGGAAUGCAGUCCAAAAUGGGUGGUAAAUUUCAUCUAAAGCUAAAUAUUGGCGAGAGACCGAUAGCGAACAAGUACCGUGAGGGAAAGAUGAAAAGAACUUUGAAAAGAGAGUUAAUCAGUACGUGAAAUUGUCAAAAGGGAAGCGUUUGACACCAGUGUUGUUUUUCUGAAAAUCAGUUAAAGAACUGUUUAUGCUAAGUUGUUUAGACUUUAUCAGCUAACUGUUUAGUUUUGAGCUUUUCUUUAAUGCACUUUUCAGUUAACAAGUCAACAUCAAUUUCUUUUGCUGUAAAAAAGCUUGAGGAAGGUGGCUUGAGAUUCGUCCUAAGUGUUUAUAGCCUCUUGCCUAUGCAGUCGGAGAGAUUGAGGUCUGCAGCGUAGAUCCUUCGGGGCUAAAUGCAUUUGUGCUAAGUUAUAGCAUUUUAUAGACAACUUGUUGACUAUGAUUUGUCUUGUAGCUUACUCGCUUAUGUUAUUUUACCUACGCUUAGGAUGUUGAUCUACAGAGCGAGAGU
rnacentral:rRNA from 1 species